UACAGAGGGGGCAAGCGUUGUUCGGAAUUACUGGGCGUAAAGGGCGCGUAGGCGGCCAACUAAGUCGGACGUGAAAUCCCCGGGCUCAACCCGGGAACUGCGUCUGAUACUGGGUGGCUUGAAUCCGGGAGAGGGAUGCGGAAUUCCAGGUGUAGCGGUGAAAUGCGUAGAUAUCGGGAGGAACACCUGUGGCGAAAGCGGCGCACUGGACCACAACUGACGCUGAGGCGCGAAAGCUAGGGGAGCAAACAGG
rnacentral:rRNA from 1 species